UUGGAAUGAUGGUGACCUAAACCCUCACCAGAGUAACAAUUGGAGGGCAAGUCUGGUGCCAGCAGCCGCGGUAAUUCCAGCUCCAAUAGCGUAUAUUAAACUUGUUGCAGUUAAAAAGCUCGUAGUUGAAUUUUUGCGUGGUGUUAAUAUUGACUGAUGUCGAGAUUGCACUUCGCUUUUGGGAUUUUUCCCUUUUUACUUUGAGAAAAUUAGAGUGUUUCAAGCAGACUUUUGUCUUGAAUACUUCAGCAUGGAAUAAUAGAGUAGGACUUUGGUUCUAUUUUGUUGGUUUGUGAACCUUAGUAAUGGUUAAUAGGAACGGUUGGGGGCAUUCGUAUUUAACUGUCAGAGGUGAAAUUCUUAGAUUUGUUAAAGACGAACUACUGCGAAAGCAUUUGCCAAGGACGUUUUCAUUAAUCAAGAACGAAAGUUAGGGGAUCGAAGACGAUCAGAUACCGUCGUAGUCCUAACCAUAAACUAUGCCGACUAGGGAUUGGAGGUCGUC
rnacentral:rRNA from 1 species